GUUUUAGUAGUUUAACAAAACAUCGGUCUUGUAAGCCGAAAUUGGGAGGUCCCCUAAAAUU
rnacentral:tRNA from 1 species